rnacentral:lncRNA from 1 species
CUUCUCUGGAUUUUCCUUCCUGAAACCAAAGGUCUCAGCACUGUGUGGGUUUAAGAAUGCAAAUCAGGCUGUAGGAAUUGGAGCUACUCUGGAUUUGAGCAGAGAAGUAAAGGAUGAGGUUGUCCUCCCUACCCACCUCUCUGAGUGUCAGCUCAUACCUGUGAUGGUUCUCUACAUCCAGUCUCUGGCCCAAAAGGUACCCUGGAGAUAACCAGCAGAUGCAUUUACCACAAAGAGAAGAAAUAAAAGGCAGCGACAGAAAACCCCUCA